rnacentral:rRNA from 1 species
GGGGAAUAUUGCACAAUGGGCGAAAGCCUGAUGCAGCAACGCCGCGUGAAGGAAGAAGGCUUUCGGGUUGUAAACUUCUUUUAAGGGGGAAGAGCAGAAGACGGUACCCCUUGAAUAAGCCACGGCUAACUACGUGCCAGCAGCCGCGGUAAUACGUAGGUGGCAAGCGUUGUCCGGAUUUACUGGGUGUAAAGGGCGUGCAGCCGGGAAGGCAAGUCAGAUGUGAAAUCUGGAGGCUCAACCUCCAAACUGCAUUUGAAACUGCUUUUCUUGAGUAUCGGAGAGGUAAUCGGAAUUCCUUGUGUAGCGGUGAAAUGCGUAGAUAUAAGGAAGAACACCAGUGGCGAAGGCGGAUUACUGGACGACAACUGACGGUGAGGCGCGAAAGCGUGGGGAGCAAACA